rnacentral:snRNA from 1 species
GCGCUCGCUUCAGUAGCACAUACACUAAAACUGGAGUGGUACAGGGAAGAUUAGCAUGGCCCCUGCACAAGGAUGGCAUGCAAAUUUGUGAAGUGUUCCAUAUUUUA